ensembl:lncRNA MIR99AHG mir-99a-let-7c cluster host gene
GCAUAAUAGAGAAGCCGGCACUCAGAUUGACAGGCAAAUAAGCCAGCUUGUGGAAGGGGCCUCUGGGUGGCAGCUCUGGGCUUUUGGGUGUUGGACAACCAUAGGCAAAACUGAAAUGGAACAGGGGCAGAAAAUAGCACACUUUUACUCUACGCAACUGUUGCUUUUUCAUGAUCUUCAGGAAUUUUACUGGGAUAAUUAUCCAAAUAAAUUGCAAGCAUUCUAUCCAAAUGAAACUUACAACCAAGUUGAAAAGACAAGAGCCAUAAAAUAAAAUAAUAGCAAAUUAAUAUAAAACCUGGAUAAAGAAUGUAAUAACUAGAUGACCAAUUUGAGAGUGCUUAUUGGGACUUAUGAAGAAAAAGAAAUUGAAAAAAGGAGCUCUUUCUGAGAUGAAGAGAAUUCUCAAUGUCAAGAUUUGAACAAGAAGAGAAUGGAAUACACAAUAUGGACAUCCAUAAAAAUUCAUCAGAGAGCAUUUUACUACUGAGCUGCAAAGGUAGGAAAAAUAAAUUUUUUUUGGUUAGAAAAUAUACUUCUUUCAUCUGCGUUUCAAUAAUUUAUUCCCCUUGUUAGAUAUACAUGGAAUUGAUAUUGCUUAUUCUGACUAAGUGAAAAGUGUUAUUUCUACUUACUGCUCAAUUAGAAACAUGUAGUGUUUAAUUGUCAGUUUGAAUUUUUCUUUCAUACUAUUACAGUUUAUAUUUUACUAUAGGCAGAAUUUCCUCUUUAUCCUAAAUUUUGAUAUUCUCCAUAAUUUCAUCGUGCCUUGACAUUGCUGUAUAUAAUUUCUAUACAUCAGGAAGGCAAUUCUGUGUGCAUGUGUGUGUGUAUAUAUAUAGUUAGAAGUUAGAAACUGAAACUCUUUUUUGUCUACCAUCAUUUCAUAUUUUUCUUGCUAUUUCAAACCUAUAAUUUUUAAAGAAACGACUAACGUAAUCAUUCAUAGAAUAUGCUGUCAGUAACUUAACAAUAUAAAUGUUAACAUGGAGGCAUUUAGUUCAGCAUUUGCUUUACUUAAUAGAGUGCAGAAAAUGUGGCCCUUUUCUCAGUUAGGGUGUAUGUGAAGAUAAAUUUAGAAUUUCUAGACUAGUAAAUACUUCUCUGAUAAUAACUUAAUUAUAGCUAUUUCAAACCAAAUUGUUUAAUUGUGGUGAAUCAUAUGUAAAUUGUUCAGAUGUAGGUCAACACCCACGCCCACAUUCUAGCACCUCUUUCCUAAUUCAAGACAACUUUGCAGUGCCUAAAAGAGCUGAACAGUGCAGAUUAGAGACAUAAGACAAAAAAAAAAAAAAAACACAAAACAAUGGUA